AAGUCCAAACAUGCCCAGACUAAGCUACAAUUUUCUUAAGCUCCCUCAGGAGCAUGGGACUCGUCGGCCUCACCAGGGUUCGAGAGGAUGAUGAUUGGGGAGGUUGAACCAAUGUCGUAUCCUUGGCUGCUUGAUCUUUGUGAAUCGAGAUGAUGAGGUCCUCGGCUCACACUCCGUCGACCUCACCGACUCUCUCUUCUUCGCCAUUCGAUUCCAGGGGCCCA
rnacentral:lncRNA from 1 species